rnacentral:lncRNA from 1 species
AAUAUAUGUGAUUACACAAUAUAUAUGUAUAUGAAAACAUAGGUGAUAACUUCAUUAUCAACAUUGUGUAUUAUAUUUUUAAAAGGGAGUUUUCUCUUUUUAUAGGUCAAGCUUAAAAGCAUUUAUCCUAACUUGUAUUUAUUGGACUACUGGGAAGGUAUAACUCUUCCCAUGUUUUGUGAUCCAGAUAUAUUUUCUCUUUCAUCAAUUAUCUAUUCAUGUCCUUUGCUCAUUUAUCUUUUAGAAUUUUGAUUGUUUAAAUAUGAGAUUUUAUGUACUUUGUAAUAGAACAAAGAUAAAAGUCAUUUGACUUUUUUAUGUGUUACAGUUUUUUUUCCCUGUUUUUUUGCCAUUUACUUACCCCAUUUUUAAUUAUGUCUUCUCUAUCAAGGAGAAAAACAUUUAAACUGAAAAGAGUGAAACUAAUAUGAGUAAAAUGGAAGUGAAGCUCAAGAAGGAGAGAAGCACUUUGCUUCGUCAAAUGAGUGGAACUAUUCAUUCUUUGAUGAAGUACUUUUUGAGCCCCCCGGUACAUAGUUGUGUAUUCUUCGUUGUGGAUUCUUCUAGUUGUGGCAUGUGGGACGCUGCCUCAGCGUGGUCUGACGAGCAGUGCCAUGUCCGCGCCCAGGAUUCGAACCAACGAAACACUGGGCCGCCUGCAGCGGAGCGCGCGAACUUAACCACUCGGCCACGGGGCCAGCCCCGAUGAAGGAAUCUUUUAAAAAAAUGUUUCAGUCGAUGGAAAUCAUGGGAGUAGGUAUAGACGUAAAGGAUAAUGCGCUUAGUUUAAAACAAUAAAUUGAGCAAAUAUGAGAUGGGGAGUCUUUACGCAAGUAAAAGAAUUGAGUGUUUCCAUUGUCUAAAAGAUCCAAACAAGGAAAGAGUAUGGCAUAGCUUUAGUUGUAUCAGCCAGGAUUUCUAGAGAAAAUGGAACCAAUAGGAUACAUUCACACACACACACACACACACACACACACACACACACACCCCAUUGAUGAGGGGGCACUGGCAAGUCUGAAAUCAGGCAGGCUGGAAAUUCUAGCUGAAGUCAGCUUUGCAGUCUUGAGUCCAAAGGUAGGCUGUAGUCAGAAUUCCUUUCUCUUAUGAGGAUCUCAGUCUUUUCUUUUAAGACCUUCAACUGAUUGGAUGAGGUUCACUCAUCCUAUAGAGCGUAAUCUGCUUUACUCAAAGUCUACCCUUCACAGCAACAUCUAGAUUGGUGUUUCACCAAACAACUGGGUACCACAGCCUAGUCAAAUUGACACACGAUAUCAACAAUCACAAUGUUAUUCAUGGAAUAUUGAGCUGCGCAGAUAGAAUUAUCAUAUCCAGAUCAAUAAUGGUCAACAUUUACUGUUCUCUGAACUGCUCAGAGCACAUCUCGCAUUUUGGGUUCAGUUUUGGGUGACUGUUUAUGAAGCUCAGUUCCACUGGAGCACAUCAAGCAGUGAGUUGAUUGGGAUGGUGAAAAGCUAGGAAGAGAUGCCAUUUAAAGAAUAGUUGGAGCAACUGCGAUGUUCUCUAAAAAGGAUAGGACCCAGAAAAGCUCUCUUAGUCAGAACUCUUUUGCUUGACAAUGACUCAUAUUGACUUACAUAAAAAGUAAGAUGGAUUGACUUAUGUAACUGAAAAGGCCAGGAGUAGACCUGGCAUAAGGUUAAAUGUUAUCUAGAUUUCAAACCACAUCAUCUGGUCUCUUUCCUCUAUCUUUUGGCUCUGAUUUAUUUGGCUUCAUUCUCAGGCAAAAGCAUCUCCAUGAGGUGGUGCCUGGAACUUUGAGCUUGCAUCGUUCUAAAGCUAUCAACCCAGAGCAGGAAGAGAGCCUCUCUUCCUCAAAAGUUCUAUAAAAAUAACUGGAAUCAUAUGUCAUUGAUUUAGCUUUUGUCAAAUGCCCAGUUAUAAACUAAGGAUUGGGGCAGGAAAUUUGUAAGCAUUUAUUGGGAGGCCUGGGUCACCCACCCGCUCCAGCAGCAUGUGUAAGUCAAAUCCCUGCAAAUGACCACGUGGAUUAAAAGCAAGGAAGGUGUGGUACUAAACAAAAAUCAGAUACUGGUACCAGAAGAAGGGGACUGAAUGGGAACUAGGAAAAAAUGACGUUCUUUACUAUAAAGGACUUCAUGACUAUUUUUCAAACAUUUGUAGGGCUGAAUGUGUGAGAAGGAUUAAGAUUUUUCUAGGCACUCCCAAAAGGGAAAAACUGGUGUCAGUGGGCAGAAGUUAAGAGGAAACAGAUUUUGUCUCUACAUAAGGAAUAAUAUUCUCAUAGAGUACCAGUAUGGUGUGUGUUAUAAGGUAACCUGUGCCCUGACCCUAGAAGAAUUUACACAGAAACUUGAUGGAUCUUAUAGAGAUGAUUCCUGUUUUGUGUUAAAGAAUUGCCUAGAUACAUUAGAAAAUCCCUUCUGUUUCUAGGAUUUCACUGUUCUCUACAUACGUAUGUGCCAGUGCAUGCACACAACCUUGCAGUUGUUAGAUCCCCCAAAAGGGAAAUUUUAAUGUAAUCACCUGUUGAGGGCAUUGUUUAAUGUCAAUUGUUUUUGAGUUGUUACUUCUAUGCCUGAUGAAUCGAUUCCACAUUUCCAUUUCUUGUUAAUAUAGCAUCACCCAAGACGUAAGUAGCUACACAUGUUGGCAUGGAAGAUAUGAUGCUACUUAGGGGCAAGGGAGUGGAAAGACACAUGGGCGGGGUUCACUUGAUCCUUGUGUACAGGUCACUUCCACAAACAGAUAGGAUGUUCAAUUUUCACUUUAUAUUUCGGUUCUAGUAACAAACACUGAAAGAACGUAGACUAUAAGGAAGAAAUAACACUAAAGGGAAGCCCUCAAAGAUAAUUCCAUCAUCCAUAACACCAGGCGCUUCCUGGCAUUAUGACUAAUAAAACUCAGCUAAAAACAUGCUCUAAAUAUUUUUAUGUGCAAAAAAUAGAAAAUUGUAAUAAAAUAAUGGCUGUUAUUUCAAACCAUGACUAUAAAAUGCCCCUGGGACAGAAGUGCCUAAUUAUGAAAUAAAACAACUUUUGUAUCCCGUGGGCAAUGUUUUCAAACUAUUGCUCUCUCCAAAGUAGUCACUAUAAUUAGUCCAAUUCCCCAGAAGAAAUGAAAAGCGUAGGGGAAUUCAUUUAGGGCUGUAGCUCAGGGCUGUGUCUUGGAUUAGGACCAAAAGGACUAUUAAAAUGUUAGUGUGAAAUAAGUGUUUCAGCAUCAUGAGUCAGAGGAAUACUUCUAUCAGGAAUUACUUAAUGUUACCUUUGAGUUAUGAUAUUCAUAUAUUUGCUUUUCAGCAGGUAACUUGAAAGUUAUGAGUACUAGGAGGAGUCGGAUGACCUUUGAUGGAAGUUUAUUUCCAAUGAUGUUUAGCUAUGCCGUCUCUCUACGCCUCAGCAUUCCCAGUUCUCAAACGGGGUUAAAAAUGACACUGCAUCUUUAGAAAUAGGAAAGCUUUAAAAAAAAAAACUAAUGGGAAAGUUGUUGAGGAAAAACUUCAAGAUUUCCCUUAUGUUUCCCCUUGAAAUAUUUUGAAGUGUUAUAGUACUCGAUGGGGAAAAUAAUCUAGAACUAUAAAAGUCAUUGCUAGUACUAUUAGUGUUCUGUAUUUUGCUACCUAGAAUUUAUUCCUACUAAAUUAUUUCUGAAGAUAUUUAUUUAGAGUUACUUUGUGGAUGAUUUGUUAGGGAAUAUUGUAUCAUUCUAUUUAUUUCAAAGGCAAGCAGUGCAGUAAAAAAUUUUAAAACUUAGUUGGAUACUUUCUGGCUUCUGGAGAUUGCUGCUAUUUCCUCAAGCUAGGACACGGUGCCUUCUAUGUAGAUUUCCUUUUGUUGACUCUAGAUUCAUAUCUACAGCUUCAUCCUCCCUUUUUUUUUUCAUUUUUUGGAGGUAACAUUGGUUUAUAACAUUAUAUACAUUUCAGGUGUACAUCAUUAUAUUUUGGUUUCUGUGUAGACUAUAUCUUGUUCAACACCCAAAGACUAAUUAUCAUCCCAGACCAUACACUUGUGCCCAGUCACCCCUUUCGCCUUCUGCCCUCCUCUUUUCCCCUCUGGUAACCACCAAACUAAUCUCUGUAACUACAUGUCUGUUUGUUGUUGUUGUUGUUGUUUUAUCUUCUAUUUAUGCAUGAGAUCAUGUGGUAUUUGACUUCUCCGUCUGACUUGUUUCACUUAGCAUAAUACCCUCAAGGUCCAUCCAUGUUGUUGUAAAUGGGAAGAUUUCAUCUUUUUUAUGGCUGAGUAGUAUUCCAUUGUGUAUAUACACC